CUACGGGAUGCACCAGUGGGGAAUAUUGCACAAUGGACGAAAGUCUGAUGCAGCAACGCCGCGUGGAGGAUGACACAUUUCGGUGCGUAAACUCCUUUUAUAUAGGAAGAUGAUGACGGUACUAUAUGAAUAAGCGCCGGCUAACUCCGUGCCAGCAGCCGCGGUAAUACGGAGGGCGCAAGCGUUACUCGGAAUCACUGGGCGUAAAGAGCGUGUAGGCGGAUUAAUAAGUUGGGAGUGAAAUCCUAUGGCUCAACCAUAGAACUGCUUCCAAAACUGUUAAUCUAGAGUAUGGGAGAGGUAGAUGGAAUUUCUGGUGUAGGGGUAAAAUCCGUAGAGAUCAGAAGGAAUACCGAUUGCGAAGGCGAUCUACUGGAACAUUACUGACGCUGAGACGCGAAAGCGUGGGGAGCAAACAGGAUUAGAUACCCCUGUAGUC
rnacentral:rRNA from 1 species